ACGUGAUGAGAGGUGAAGAUCUGGGUUCCUACACGCAGAACGGCGUACGGGUCUGACUUCCCGUCAAUUAAACCUUUGAUGACUGUAUCCUUGGCAGUCAGGUCCUCGGCCUCCAGCAGGUGGAUGCGCACGACUCCCUGGCCAUUCAUUAUUGAGACAGUUACCCUUGGGAGAGGGGAGCGGAGCUGCGCAACGUGCAGGUCGGCCACCAGGGGAACAGUGAGACGGUUGGGGAGCACCAGAUAAUCGGCUCUGAUGGAGCGACUGCUGCACCGGGAGCCGGGUCACUAAAAGUGCACACAAGCGCACUUUAUCUUCAUAGCAAAUGUGAGGCAUCGGAGCUGCUGGAGGAGUCACUCAAGGGAAACACAAACACCUUAUCAUCAAAUCAUUGUUGUUUCCUUUGCAUGGCUUAAAGUUCAGCUGCACAGAACAGAGCAGUAAAGGAGCUGCAUGUCGCAACUGAUGACUCCUUAAAAUUGAUGAGCUCCUAAUGCAGAAAUACACAUCCGCACAUGUUGGGCAACAAAUCAAUAUUACAUUGUUACUGUGAUAUGACACUGUAUAUCGUCUUAGAUUUUGGACGUCAUUCUGUCACGAGGUGGCGUAAGUUUUGUCUUCUCCUGGUUUUAAAAGGCUGCUUUAGAGGAAAGUGAUGUAAUUUUCUGAACUUACCAAACUGUUCUACUUGUUCUAAUACUUGUGUUUACCCACUUAGUCAUUAUAUCCACACUACUGGUGAUUAUUUAUAAUAAAACUCAAUGUGUACUGUGACAUGAUUUUGUCGUUGUCUCUGCAGUAUUUUACAAACGCACAAA